rnacentral:rRNA from 1 species
AACGAACGCUGGCGGCAUGCCUAACACAUGCAAGUCGAACGAGACCUUCGGGUCUAGUGGCGCACGGGUGCGUAACGCGUGGGAACCUGCCCUUAGGUUCGGAAUAACUCCCCGAAAGGGGUGCUAAUACCGGAUAAUGUCUUCGGACCAAAGAUUUAUCGCCUUUGGAUGGGCCCGCGUUGGAUUAGCUAGUUGGUAGGGUAAAAGCCUACCAAGGCGACGAUCCAUAGCUGGUCUGAGAGGAUGAACAGCCACACUGGGACUGAGACACGGCCCAGACUCCUACGGGAGGCAGCAGUGGGGAAUAUUGGUCAAUGGGCGAAAGCCUGAUCCAGCAAUGCCGCGUGAGUGAUGAAGGCCUUAGGGUUGUAAAGCUCUUUUACCCGGGAUGAUAAUGACAGUACCGGGAGAAUAAGCUCCGGCUAACUCCGUG